rnacentral:rRNA from 1 species
CAGCACCUCAAGUGGUCAGGAUGACUAUUGGGCCUAAAGCAUCCGUAGCCGGCUCUGUAAGUUUUCGGUUAAAUCUGUACGCUCAACGUACAGGCUGCCGGGAAUACUGCAGAGCUAGGGAGUGGGAGAGGUAGACGGUACUCGGUAGGAAGGGGUAAAAUCCUUUGAUCUAUUGAUGACCACCUGUGGCGAAGGCGGUCUACCAGAACACGUCCGACGGUGAGGGAUGAAAGCUGGGGGAGCAAACCGGAUUAGAUACCCGAGUAGUCC